rnacentral:rRNA from 1 species
AGCUCCAAUAGCGUAUAUUAAAGUUGUUGCAGUUAAAAAGCUCGUAGUUGGAUUUCUGUUUUAAAGGUUCGGUCGUGUCUUUGACACGUACCAGAGGCUUUGGAGCAUAUUUUGUGAGGAGUCUUGCUGGCAUUAAGUUGUUGGUUUGGCGGCUUGCAUCGUUUACUGUGAAAAAAUUAGAGUGUUUCAAGCAGGCGUUUGCUUUUGAAUACAUUAGCAUGGAAUAAUAGGAUAUGACUCGCGUGGUCUAUUUUGUUGGUUUGCACACGCAAGUAAUGAUUAAUAGGGACAGUUGGGGGUAUUCAUAUUUGAGCGUCAGAGGUGAAAUUCUUGGAUCGCUGAAAGAUGAGCUUAGGCGAAAGCAUUUAUCAUGGAUGUUUUCAUUA